rnacentral:rRNA from 1 species
UACGUAGGUGGCAAGCGUUGUCCGGAUUUAUUGGGUGUAAAGGGCGUGUAGCCGGGCUGACAAGUCAGAUGUGAAAUCCGGGGGCUCAACCCCCGAACUGCAUUUGAAACUGUUGGUCUUGAGUAUCGGAGAGGCAGGCGGAAUUCCUAGUGUAGCGGUGAAAUGCGUAGAUAUAUGGAGGAACACCGGUGGCGAAAGCGGCUCUCUGGCCUGUAACUGACACUGAGGCUCGAAAGCGUGGGGGGCAAACAGG